CAUCUAAUGAAAACAAAACCAAAAAUAAAACACAAGUGAUCCAUGAGGCUGGUUCUUUGAGCCUCAUUGCCUAUUAUUGUAAACAUCCGAACUUCAGGGUUUUCAGGAAAAGUUCUGCCCUGCAAGAUGUGCAGAAAGUCAGGAGUAACCCAGCCCCACCAUUGUUUUUGACUGGUGACGCUUCACGCUGCUUGUCCUGAUUACGCCAACUCAGGUUUGGCUAUGUGGAAAGAAGGAUGCGAGUUACUGCAGGUUCCAGCCCACCGUGGAGAUGCUCAUCCUUUGUUUUGACUUCUAGGAAGAACAGCCUCUGAAAUGAAUAAUCCCACAUAUCCAGGGAUGACUGGCAGGGUGGAAAAAUGAAGGAAAAAUAAAGCUUUGCAGAAAAACUUCAGAGGAAAUUUGACACCUUCAAAACCACAGGUGUGAAGUUAAGUGAAACUGGUCCUGGACUGAUAAAAUAGGAGUCCUUUCCUUUACAUCCCAGCUGUCUCACUUGGACUUGGACUGAAUCUUGCAAGGUGUGCCUGGAGCCAACCUGAGAAUGGCGCCUUUUGGAGGCACUGAAAAAUGUAAGCAGUAUGUGAUUCAAAGAUGUCCACCAUCUGGAUUUGAAUGGAUCAGCUUUCAGAGAACAGUGACAUCAGAGAGCAAUUCUCAACUUCUGAAGCCCUGUGAGCCCAGGAAACAGGGGGAGUUUAAAAUGCCCUGAAAUUAAUUUUCCUGCUUUUAUGAUUUUAGCCAGUGUUUUCAUUUUAGUAUUGAUACCCAGAAGCAGUUUCUCAAAGGACUCAUUUUUAAAAAACGCAUCAAAUAAGCAAAUGACACUACUCAAUUUCUUGAAUAAUACAGAUUUCAAAAAUUGCUGAAUUGUGUCAAGUUUAAAUGACCAAGAUCAAAUUUACAUACAUUCAAGCCAACUAGGGGAUUUACUCAAAAUUAUUCUAACUUUGAAAUGUGCAUUUAAAUAAGCUGCAGAAGGAAAUAGUGGUAAGCACUAGAAUUAAAAGUAUGUAAAUGUUUCACUUUGUUUCCAUUUUUGUCCCUAAAUGUCUUUGAACUUUUGAUAAUUCUUUGUUUGACUCCAUUUAUCCAUUUUUAGUUUUUAUUAUUAAAUUCAUAAGCUCUCUCCAUAUUCAGUAUAAUACCACAACAAUGCAAAGUUCAAUGAAUUCUUAUUUACAUGUGAAGUUCAAUCCCAGUCCCAGCAGGAAAUUUUUACAUUAUCUAAUCCAUUCAUCUCAGUUGUCAAGAAGAAACCUCAGGCAUGAAAAGGGAAAAAACAUUUCUCAGUGACACAAAGUGAUUCGGUGGCAGAGAUGAACCUCAACUAUGACUCCUGCCUGGGUCCUCUCUUCUAGCACCUUCUUCCACCUCUCCUCUUUUUCCAGAAGAUUAUCUUCCCUGGAUCUGGAACCUUCUGGGUCCUCUUUCCAGCCAGGAUCUGAUCAAGUGGACAAAGAUUGAAGUUGAAGAUGAAUAGAAGGGGAUCAUGGUCACUACUGAGAUCAGACCAACAGGAGCCCAUUCCCCUCAGGAAUUAGCAACCACCCGUCAUACCUUGACGGAGCAGAAUCAGUUUGUCAGCCAGCUCAGUUUAUCAUAAAAGGAAUAGAAGCAAUCGGUGCAGGACCUCUACAGGGUCGAUCCCUCGUGUUUAAAGUGGGAGCCUCUCAAAGUCAGGAAGCUAGUCAGACGUUCAAACUAUGCGGUGACGCUGAGGGCCCUGUGAACCGGAAACAGACGUUUACAGCAUCCCUUUCCAGCUCAGCCGGUUCCAAAUAUCUGCCUCUGAUGCUAAAGGGGAGUGGGCUCUCGGCCCAAAGUCUAACGUGGGCAGAGGCAGCCAACGGAUCACCAGGGUCACUUUUAUUUUUCGUUUUCACUGUGUAGAGAGUUGGGUGUAUAAUGUUGGCACUUUUACAAGAGGCUGGUAAAGGGAGAGGAGAGAGGAAAAAGUAAGACUGUUUUUAGUUCAUCAAACUGCUGCUGAUCUCAGAAUAAUAAACACAAGUCUGUUUCCUUGA